UUUAUUUAUUUAUUUUGCCAGGGUAAAUAUAACAUGAGGUAAUGACUUAAAUGUACAUCUCAGAUGAUUAAAAAAAAUAAAUCAAUAAAAUAGAUAUAAAUGUAACUUUGACUAUUUGACACCUCACGUGCAAAGCCCGCGAAAGAACCAGAGGUUAUAUAAGCUGCGGUCGUCACAUCACGCGCACAGCCGGACUCUGAGUGGACAUCGCCUGACGGGAGAGCUUUCCUGAGAUUGUCAUCCGAUUGUUCUGCUGCACCCCAAAGGCUCCACAGCACUUGUCACAAGUUUUUGGCUUUAUUUGUCAAGAUCAUCUGAAAAGAGUUCACCUGUGCCGUUGAGCUGGAUGGAAAAACGGAGAAGUUAAUAAACAGAUGGCAUGGAAGAAGAGAGCAGGUCCUACAACACAGAAAUUCUUCUUAAGGUAUAUGCUCCAAAUUUACUAUUUACCAUUGAGUUCACUGAGAUCUGACUAACUAUGUGUCUAUAUGUGUCCCCUCUUUAUCUCUCUUUCCUUUUUUCUGUCGCUCUUUUAGGAUAAACCCGAGGUCCUGGGAUAUCUUAGAGGUUCUAAUGUGUUUUUUAUGCAUUUGUUGAUGUCAAUUUUUCAAUAAUAAAUUCUCAUAUUUUUUACAUUUAUGGUGUCAUUCUUAUUGGGGGGUAUUGAGGGGGGAGCUGCACGUGUGUGUGUGUAAUAUUUGUGGAAACAACUGUUAAAAAAAAACUGGAGGAAAUCUUUAAUAAUACAUUUUUUUUGUAUUUUUUAGAGAACCAAUGAAUUACAUGAACAGUUCUUAUCCAUGUAGUCUAUAUAGCAAACAAGCUAAUAUUGUUUUGGUAAAGUUUGUUGUUAUUAAUUAAAUAAAUAUUGGUUUGUAUUUCAUAUACAUUACCAUUUGGUAUCCAGACUCGGGCCAGUACCGGCUAAUUGUAUAAUCUAUGCUGGCGUGAUCAGCUUCGGCAGCCGGACUCGGGCCAGUGUAUUCGGGCCGAUUCUGGCGCGUCAUUCACUCCCAUAAUUCACAUGAGUCCGGCAACCGCAUCCGGGCCGAGUUAUUUCUUCCGGUUUGCCGGAUUUGGGCCGUUAUCGGGCCGGAUCAUUUUGGCUACCUGGGACAUUGCGCUUCCUUACCACGCUGAAACAAUUCCUAUUGGUUAUUUAACUUAUUUGCUUUGAUCAUGAUUGGUUAAUCUGGCUGUCAUUCAUGAAACUGGCCAAUGAAACUGUGCGCACCAUUUUAAGUUUGAAAAUAUGACCGUUAUCCUGACCGUCUUUCUGAGUGAGGUCGCUGUGAGUGAGAGAGCUGCUGCGCAAUAAAACUGCUAGGUCGGUCCCGAAUUAUAAUUAUUGUAUAAAAAACAUUUACCAUCAAGUUUCUAAUUUUAUGUACUGGUACUAUUUAUGUAAACGCUGCGUAACUUUCAUGUGUUUGAUGGACGCGCGCGUUGAACAUUCGAGGCGCUUUUAAACUGGAGUGGAGGGAGUUUCCAUGGAAACGGGGCUGCAACUCAGCUGACAAGUAGCAAAAAAACUCCGUCUCUCACUGUUGUUUUUACUGCUUUCAGGUAAAUUUAGUCCCUAAAAUUACACAAAUAAUACAUAACUGUUCCUGACACUUUCUUACAUGUAAUUGACACGCUUCUGUUGAAUAUUUACUUUACAGAAAUGGUUCAGUGUCAUCGGAAAAAGUUCGUUAGCAUCACAACCGUGAACUAACCAGAGGCUAACUAUAAGAGUCUUCCAUGCUGAUGGCCGUGCAGCAGAGUUGGAGGGGACCUCUUGUCGAAGAACAUCUCCAAGACACUAUGAGCAUCUGACUAGCUUUUUGUGAAGACAGAAAAUCAAGAGAUGUUGUGACAACCUGGACAGAAUUCAGCUCCAGAUCCACCCUCCACACCAGACUUCUCAAUCACAAGGACUGCUGUCUACUAGCAUAUUGUGUUCUCUUCAGAGUUAGGUGCAUGGAGAUAUUACCUCAU